rnacentral:sRNA from 1 species
GCCAGGCACGGUGGUGCAUGCCUGUAAUCCCAGUGUCUUGGGAGGCUGAGACAGGAGGAUAAGUGAGACCCUGUCUCUA